GCUGAUAUAGCUCAGGUGGUAGAGCGCAUCCUUGGUAAGGGAUGAGGCCGGCAGUUCGAGUCUGCUAUCAGCACCA
rnacentral:tRNA from 1 species